UCAUACACAUACACACACUAGUUCUUACAAUUUCUGUUUCUAAGUUCUGUUACCGACUCCGAACAGUUUCCAGUUUCCUCUCACUUGCUCAGAGACAAAGAGGGAGAGGGAGAGAGAGAGAGGCAUCAUCAUCGUAAAAGGUUGGAAGAAACAGAGGAAAAAAAGGAUUGACUGUGUGUAGAGAGAGAUGGCAGUGAAACGACAGAAGCUUGAUUCGUCUGCCUAGUGUGUCGAUAUAUAUAGUUCUAUACGUUUGUUCAUCUUCCGCUUAAAUGGUGCGCCAGUAAAUCUCUAUGUAUAUAAUACAGUAGACUAGAGAAUCUCUAUGUAUAGAUGAAUGUCUAGGCAGCGUGUGUGUGGAAGGGCUCAUGCGUGUGUGUGUGUGUUAUUAUUAGAUGAAUGAGUAGGGUGUGUGGAAGAGAGAUUAUUAUUAGAUGAAUGUGUAGGGUGUGUGUGAGAGAGAGAUUAUUAUUAGAUGAAUGUGUAGGGUGUGUGUGAGAGAGAUUAUUAUUAGAUGAAUGGUGCAAUCAUAGCGACGAA